UUUAUGGAGAGUUUGAUCCUGGCUCAGGAUGAACGCUGGCGGCGUGCCUAAUACAUGCAAGUCGAGCGAACGGACGAGAAGCUUGCUUCUCUGAUGUUAGCGGCGGACGGGUGAGUAACACGUGGAUAACCUACCUAUAAGACUGGGAUAACUUCGGGAAACCGGAGCUAAUACCGGAUAAUAUUUUGAACCGCAUGGUUCAAAAGUGAAAGACGGUCUUGCUGUCACUUAUAGAUGGAUCCGCGCUGCAUUAGCUAGUUGGUAAGGUAACGGCUUACCAAGGCAACGAUGCAUAGCCGACCUGAGAGGGUGAUCGGCCACACUGGAACUGAGACACGGUCCAGACUCCUACGGGAGGCAGCAGUAGGGAAUCUUCCGCAAUGGGCGAAAGCCUGACGGAGCAACGCCGCGUGAGUGAUGAAGGUCUUCGGAUCGUAAAACUCUGUUAUUAGGGAAGAACAUAUGUGUAAGUAACUGUGCACAUCUUGACGGUACCUAAUCAGAAAGCCACGGCUAACUACGUGCCAGCAGCCGCGGUAAUACGUAGGUGGCAAGCGUUAUCCGGAAUUAUUGGGCGUAAAGCGCGCGUAGGCGGUUUUUUAAGUCUGAUGUGAAAGCCCACGGCUCAACCGUGGAGGGUCAUUGGAAACUGGAAAACUUGAGUGCAGAAGAGGAAAGUGGAAUUCCAUGUGUAGCGGUGAAAUGCGCAGAGAUAUGGAGGAACACCAGUGGCGAAGGCGACUUUCUGGUCUGUAACUGACGCUGAUGUGCGAAAGCGUGGGGAUCAAACAGGAUUAGAUACCCUGGUAGUCCACGCCGUAAACGAUGAGUGCUAAGUGUUAGGGGUUUCCGCCCUUAGUGCUGCAGCUAACGCAUUAAGCACUCCGCCUGGGGAGUACGACCGCAAGGUUGAAACUCAAAGGAAUUGACGGGGACCCGCACAAGCGGUGGAGCAUGUGGUUUAAUUCGAAGCAACGCGAAGAACCUUACCAAAUCUUGACAUCCUUUGACAACUCUAGAGAUAGAGCUUUCCCUUCGGGGACAAAGUGACAGGUGGUGCAUGGUUGUCGUCAGCUCGUGUCGUGAGAUGUUGGGUUAAGUCCCGCAACGAGCGCAACCCUUAAGCUUAGUUGCCAUCAUUAAGUUGGGCACUCUAAGUUGACUGCCGGUGACAAACCGGAGGAAGGUGGGGAUGACGUCAAAUCAUCAUGCCCCUUAUGAUUUGGGCUACACACGUGCUACAAUGGACAAUACAAAGGGCAGCGAAACCGCGAGGUCAAGCAAAUCCCAUAAAGUUGUUCUCAGUUCGGAUUGUAGUCUGCAACUCGACUACAUGAAGCUGGAAUCGCUAGUAAUCGUAGAUCAGCAUGCUACGGUGAAUACGUUCCCGGGUCUUGUACACACCGCCCGUCACACCACGAGAGUUUGUAACACCCGAAGCCGGUGGAGUAACCUUUUAGGAGCUAGCCGUCGAAGGUGGGACAAAUGAUUGGGGUGAAGUCGUAACAAGGUAGCCGUAUCGGAAGGUGCGGCUGGAUCACCUCCUUUCU
rnacentral:rRNA from 1 species